ACUGGUAUAAUACUAGAUCAAUAAUGUCAUUUUGAUAGUAUUUUGAUGUUUACAGACAGACAACCUGGCAUAGUGGAUUGAGAGCGAGGAUUAGAAUCAGAAAGACCUGGGAUCAAGUUCUACCUCUAACACAUACUGGGCAUGUCAUCCUAGGUGUGGACUGCUACACAAAGAAUUGGAAACAAAAAUAUCUAUAGCUGCUCUUUUUGUGGUGGCAAAGAAUUGGAAACAUCCCCCCGAUUGAGAGUGACGUGAGCAGAACCAGGAGAACACAUUUUACAGUAACGGAAAUAUUGCAUGAUGAUCAACUGGGAAGUACUAAAUUAUCAGCAAAACAAGGUUCCAAGAUAACUCCAAGAGACUCAUGAUAAAAAACAACAAACCCACUAUCCACACCCAGUGAAGGAACUGUUAGAAUCUGUUUCCAGAUCAAAGCACACCA
rnacentral:lncRNA from 1 species